rnacentral:lncRNA from 1 species
AAAUCCGGUCGAUCGAAGAUGGCGGCAGGCCAGGCAGUCAGCUCCAGAGCUCCACAAAUUUUAACUGAGUUUUAAUUGAUUUUAUCUCGUUUUAACUCGUUUUAGACUAAGUAUUUUAUUUUUCUUAAUCACAUCUGUUUCUUUUAACCUGGAGCUGAGAGCAGAAGAAUGCUGAGCUGUGAGCAGAGAAAGUGCCAGAUGAGUCAGCGCUUUGCAGAUAAGGAAUAAUAGACGACACCAUCAAUCUUGACCGCCGGAGCAGGGAGAAUCAGUGGGAGUCCAGAGUCAGAACCCGAAGAGAAACUCCCUGUUUAAGGACACCGAAUCACCGGCUACACAAGGAACUAGAAGGCAAGCGUUGGUUAAAAUUACUCCCGAGCACUGGAUCACCUCUGCUAUAGCUGUAGCCAGGAGACAGGGCCUGAGCGGAGUCUUAAUACUUGGGGAAGGGAAAGAGCCAAGCCGAAGUUUUGAAGCCAGGCCAGGGGAGGACCUGAGGACCAGAGGAGAUCAUAGAAGUCCUCAGGUGCCUGAACGGGCAGCUGAACCCGACGGGCUUGAGGACCCAGCCUCCCUCUCGAGCAGUCUUCUCCAGCUGCACUUCGUCAUCCCAAUCAGCGAGAGUGGAAAGCUGCGAGGCUGCUAGGCUUCGGGUUGCUGAAACUACACUCUGAAAGGUGAAGAAGAAGUUCUCAGCAGAGAGGGGUGAAGAGAGAGGAGACGGGAGUUUAAAUUAAACAAAACAAAAGCCUGGAAGUUCACUAAGCGGUGAGACCUUCUGUUCCAAGUUAAGCCUGCUUGCACUUUUCCUGGAGACCGAAUAGGGGAGGGAUGGGGGACUGGACCAAGAUUUAAAUUGAGAGCCCUUCCCUUGAACAAUCUAUCGUGAAGAGGGCUGAGCUGAGAUGAUCUACUUGAGCCCUCACCAGGGGUAAAUCUUUAUCCGAAUUUGACUCUUAUUAUAGCUCUUGUAUGAACUGCGGAGAAAUCCCUGGAGUUAAAUACUCAGCUGUAUAGCCAAAUUAUUGACUGUGGUAGGAAGUCCCCUUCUUCUCUCCUGUAUUAUCUACAUUAUUUAGCUCAUAUCUACUGUGGCUAUGGGCAAGAGGAAACGCCUCAGAGAAGCAGAGGAAUUACUGCUCCUCCCUAGCCCCAAGCUACAAGCUAAAGAAAGAAGAGACCAGUCAAAUUCUCAAGCAGCAGUUACCACAUACAAUAGAUUUCUUCCACUAAGUGACUUGGAUGUAGCUAAUAACAUUCCCAAGUCCCAAAAUACCACCAUACACAAUUGUAAUCUAACGAGCACUCCCGUCAAGGGUGGGCCCAAUGUGGAUGGGAAAAAGAUCCGGGAUAAAGAAAACCAGCUGGGAAAUGAGUCCUCCCAUUUACAACUAGUCAUUAGGACACUGGACUGCAUAUUUAAAAAGAUAGACUUUCUGACGUGCUCAAUUUCCAAGCUAACGGAAAAAGUGAUGGAUAUGGACGCCAAAAUUGCCCUCAAUAAUAACUACCAGAGGGGACCUCCAGUAAUAGCCCCACCAAACUCUGGGGCAAAGGGGAUGAGAAAAUAUAAACUAAACGAUCUCAUGUGUAAGCAAAAUCUAACAUUGCAACCUAAGAAGGUGUGCCUAACGAUAAGGUCUGAGAUAUGGGACUGGUCAAGCUUGGAAGGAGCUAAAACUGCCCUAAGUAAAAUCCUGAGAAUAAGCAUAGUUCAUAUUGAUCUUCAUGCUUUACUUCCGCUAACUCAAUCAAAUGGCCCUUACAAAGUUAUUUUAGCCUUCCGUUCGCUGAGACUACCCUUAUUAAUAAUAAGACAAAAAUGGAAAUUUAUAAAAACAAAAAUCAUACCUACAAGGGUUUUUGCGGACAGCAUAGUAAAACCACUACUUGUGGAAAAAGAGAAAGAGAUAUUAGAUUCAGGAACAAGCUCUACAAAAUCGCCAGACAAAGAGAUGUUGCCUUCCCCACAGAGAACGGAGGAGAUGGCCUGCAGUCCACAACCAGGAACGGACUUGGGUGGCUCCAGAAUAUCUAAUGAUGAAAGCGCCCUUAUGAAUUCAUUUGAUGAAUUACAGUCAC